rnacentral:rRNA from 1 species
UUUUUAACGGCCGCGGUACUCUGACCGUGCAAAGGUAGGAUAAUCAUUUGACCUUAUAAUUGAAGGCUAGAAUGAAUGGUUUGACAAGAAUACAACUGUCUCUUUACAAUUACAUAAAAUUUUAUCUGCAGUUGAAGAAGCCUGCAUUUGAAUAAAAGACAAGAAGACCCUAUCGAGCUUAAAAAAAACUGGUGGAAUAACAAACUUAAUCCUAACUUAUAAAUAAAUAAAUAGUCAACUACUGGAAAUUUUGGUUGGGGCGACCGGGGAACAAAAAAAACUUCCUUUAUAAAAAUUUAGAUGCCCAAAUAUUGAUCCAGCAUUAUAUGAUUAAAGAAAUUAGUUUCCUUAAGGAUAACAGCAUUAUCUUUUUUAAGAGUUCUUAUCGAAACCCCCUUUGUGACCUCGAUGUUGGACCAGAAUAUCCUAAAGAUGCAGCCGUCUUAAGG